rnacentral:rRNA from 1 species
AUUGAACGCUGGCGGCAGGCCUAACACAUGCAAGUCGAACGAGUGGCGGACGGGUGAGUAAUGUAUGGUAAACUGCCUGAUGGAGGGGGAUAACUACUGGAAACGGUAGCUAAUACCGCAUACCAGCAGAUGUGCACAUAUGGGAUUAGCUAGUUGGAGGGGGAACGGCUCACCAAGGCGACGAUGCCUAGCUGGUCUGAGAGGAUGACCAGCUAAUCUGUAACGGAGGCACGGCCCAUACUCCUAAGGGAGGCAGCAGUGGGGAAGAUUGCAAAAGUGGCGCAAUCAUGAGGAUGCAAGGCCGAGUGUAUGAAGAAGGCCUUAGGGUUGUAAAGUACUUUCAGCGAGGAGGCGUUACCCGCAGAAGAAGCACCGGCUAACUCCGGGCCAGCAGCCGCGGUAAUAC